rnacentral:tRNA from 1 species
GGGCGUAAUGGUCUAGAGGUAUGAUACUUGCUUUGGGCAAAGUUCAUUGCAAGGGGUCUUCGGUUCGAAUCCGGAUUCGCCCC